AUAAACGAGAAAUAGAGGCGGAAUAGGAGAAGGAGCUAAGAUGUUUGUCGGGUUCCUGAAGAUGCGUCGACGUGUUAUCAUCCACGCAAGCUUCCCCAACCCAGCCAGUGUACCACAGGACGGGAGGAGGAAGCCAGCGGCUGCAUGCACCAUUGAACAGGACGGCAUUGUAUUCCUCCCACAGGAGUGACUACAGCGAAGCAAGCCCAGAAUAAAGUGUUGAGUGACCGUGAUGAUUCAGUACUACUAACACCAAACAAGUGAGGGAAGUGUUCGGAGUGAACGUGCAAGACAUACAACAGACACCAGACUGCUGCCGCUGCUGCUACUGCCGGUGUAGCCAAAGGAACAAAAGGUCCGGAGCAGGAGGAAGAAAUGGGUGAUUCUUGGAAACGCACCAAUGAAGUUGUGAAGGUUGGCCACAAAUCUUCAUCACUGGUGUAGUGUAUUUCAUUGACCAUUUGUAGAUUGGGUGGAUAAACUUGUAGAUUUUGUAGACAGUUGUAGAUGUGUAGCUAGUGGGUAAGGUUUUUUGCAAUGCCUUAUCUACACCAGCAGAAAACAGUGAUAUGGACAACUUGUGCAUAGCAUAGUGAUAGCAGUGUACAGUGUACAUGUAUACCUCUUUUUCUUUUCAAUGGUAAAUAUUUCUAUUUAAUAUGUUCUAUUUGAUAUGUUUAAUAUGUUUUCAUGUGUUAUUUUAUAUACCU